CAUAAAAAGCUACUCUACACUCUUCAUUUCCAACCACCACCUCUUCCUAUCUUCUCCCGCCCCUCUCCUUCCACACAUCAACUACCAGCAACAAAAUUAACGAAUUCCCACUUCACAGGUUUGGAUUUGUAAACGUUGAGGGUUCCGAUUUGUAAACAUAGGCUUCUAUUGGAAACUAGGGUUCCGAUUUGAAAAGGAUUUUGCUAUCAGCAAGUAUCAACCGAUUCAUCCUUCACAUCUCCAUCCCUCUGCUAUAUUUUUUUGGCCAAACCGGGGUGAAAAGCGCAGAGGCGGAGGUUAUAAACAACGAGGUUGCUGCCGAUGACGGGAGACCUUCAUCUCCGCCAGAUGGUGAGGAGGAGUUCAUUGAUGAUGAUGGGACUGUGUACAAGUGGGACAAGACGCUUAGAGCCUGGGUUCCUCAGCCAAGAUGACUGAUGGUCGAGCAGCGACCCCGGCGGGACUUAUUUCAGCAUCAAUAGCACAUGCUUUUGCACUAUUUGUUGCAGUUUCGGUUGGUGCUAACAUAUCAUGGGGUCAUGUGAACCCAACUGUGACAUUUGGCUUGUUUGUUGGUGGCCACAUUUCGCUUUGAGGAGUGUC